rnacentral:rRNA from 1 species
UACGUAGGGCGCGAGCGUUGUCCGGAAUCAUUGGGCGUAAAGAGCUCGUAGGCGGCCGGUUGCGUCUGCUGUGAAAUCCCGGGGCUUAACCCCGGGCGUGCAGUGGAUACGGGCUGGCUGGAGGCAGGCAGGGGAGAAUGGAAUUCCCGGUGUAGCGGUGAAAUGCGCAGAUAUCGGGAGGAACACCGGUGGCGAAGGCGGUUCUCUGGGCCUGUGCUGACGCUGAGACGCGAAAGCGUGGGGAGCGAACAGG